rnacentral:rRNA from 1 species
GUUUGAUCCUGGCUCAGGAUGAACGCUAGCGGCAGGCUUAACACAUGCAAGUCGAGGGGUAUGGUUCUUCGGAACCAGAGACCGGCGCACGGGUGCGUAACGCGUAUGCAAUCUACCUUUACAGAGGGAUAGCCCAGAGAAAUUUGGAUUAAUACCUCAUAGUAUAACGAGUUCGCAUGAAUUUGUUGUUAAAGUCACAACGGUAAAAGAUGAGCAUGCGUCCCAUUAGCUAGAUGGUAAGGUAACGGCUUACCAUGGCUACGAUGGGUAGGGGUCCUGAGAGGGAGAUCCCCCACACUGGUACUGAGACACGGACCAGACUCCUACGGGAGGCAGCAGUGAGGAAUAUUGGUCAAUGGGCGCAAGCCUGAACCAGCCAUGCCGCGUGCAGGAUGACGGUCCUAUGGAUUGUAAACUGCUUUUGUACGAGAAGAAACACUCCUUCGUGAAGGAGCUUGACGGUAUCGUAAGAAUAAGGAUCGGCUAACUCCGUGCCAGCAGCCGCGGUAAUACGGAGGAUCCAAGCGUUAUCCGGAAUCAUUGGGUUUAAAGGGUCCGUAGGCGGUUUAGUAAGUCAGUGGUGAAAGCCCAUCGCUCAACGGUGGAACGGCCAUUGAUACUGCUAGACUUGAAUUAUUAGGAAGUAACUAGAAUAUGUAGUGUAGCGGUGAAAUGCUUAGAGAUUACAUGGAAUACCAAUUGCGAAGGCAGGUUACUACUAAUAUAUUGACGCUGAUGGACGAAAGCGUGGGUAGCGAACAGGAUUAGAUACCCUGGUAGUCCACGCCGUAAACGAUGGAUACUAGCUGUUGGGAGCAAUUUCAGUGGCUAAGCGAAAGUGAUAAGUAUCCCACCUGGGGAGUACGUUCGCAAGAAUGAAACUCAAAGGAAUUGACG